CUGCUCAGAGUGACCUGCCAUUGUUUUAUCACUCCAUCAGUCUGACUUUACCUUCUUUCUGAUCGUUUUCUGUUCUGGUCCUUAUCAGACAUGACUUUCCAUCAGAGCUGAGUCUGUGACAGUCAGAGCACAGUGAGCAUGAGUUCUCUCUCUCUCUGCAGAGCUCCCCUCAGUGUCUCUCCUCCAGAAGACUCCCUUGUGUAACGGUGUGACAUUAUUUGCCACAGUGUGGUGCAGUGUCGUGUAAAGUGUGACAACAAAGCAGCCUAACUCAGAAAUGUGUUUGUCCUCCAGUGAAGCACUCUGUGAAAUACAUGCUCACUUCGUCCUACGGAGUCAGAAGCAUCCCAGAGUUUGUGGCCGUCGCAGUGGUUGAUGAAGGCUCCUGCCUCAGAUUGUCCCGAGACUGUGAUGCUAAUAUUCCCAUGCCACUGCGGUGCUGUAUGCUGUGCUGCAGAUUGAAAUUAAUGCAGUGCAAGUUCACCCACGCCGUUGAAGCUGUUCUGCUGAAACAUUAUGGGCUGCAUCACAGAGCUUCAACCUGGCCUUGCAUCCACAGGGACUGCUGAUGCACUUUCACAGCCAUUAGUGCUUUGAAAUUUACUUGGCCCCGUUGGAAGGGAUUUGAUGCUGGUACAGUUUUAAUAAAACAAAUGUUUUGAAUGUACAUUUUGCAUCUGUAUUUAUAUAUUUGAUUAGAAGUUAUUGGUCCUAACUUAAGUUAUAAAGAUGAGUUACAUUAUGAACUAUUGCAGUGUGCAAUUUUAAAUUCUUCUUAAAUUAUUCUGCUAUACUAACUGAACCAAAUUUAAGUGGAUUAUGUGUAAGAGUUAUCACAAUAUAAAAUUAGUUAGUACAAUUUAUGGGAGAGUUAGCAGAAUUAAGGAUUAAAAGUUAUUACGAGGGCUGCACGGUGGCUCGGUGGUUAGCAGCGUCGCCUCACAGCUAGAAGAUCCCCGAAAUCACAGUGAUUU